UACGUAGGGUGCAGGCGUUAAUCGGAAUUACUGGGCGUAAAGCGUGCGCAGGCGGUUUCUUAAGUCAGAUGUGAAAGCCCCGGGCUUAACCUGGGAACUGCGUUUGGAACUGGGAGACUUGAGUGUGGCAGAGGGGGGUGGAAUUCCACGUGUAGCAGUGAAAUGCGUAGAUAUGCGGAGGAACACCGAUGGCGAAGGCAAUCCCCUGGACCUGUACUGACGCUCAUGCACGAAAGCGUGGGGAGCAAACAGG
rnacentral:rRNA from 1 species